UCAUAUUAUGUACAGGAAUAAUUGGAAGAUCAAGAUUUAUAUUGUAGUUUUAGUAACGUUUAAGUGUCUUUUGGCUCUUUCACUAAUGUCUCAACAGUUAUAUCAGAGACUUUAAGUAGAAUUAAGGUGAAAAUUAAAGAACAAAUUAAAUAGAUUAAACAAAUAAAUGCAAAAAAAAAAAAAAAAAAAAAAAAAAAAAAAAAAAAAAAAAAAAAAAAAAAAAAAAAAAAAAAAAAAAAUAUAUAUA
rnacentral:lncRNA from 1 species